GUCUUGGUCAUUAGAGGAAGUAAAAGUCGUAACAAGGUUUCCGUAGGUGAACCUGCGGAAGGAUCAUUAUUGAAUAAACUUGGAGGGUUGUUGCUGGCUUCUAGGAGCAAUUGUGCACACUCUUCAUCUUUUACAUUUUCCACCUGUGCACUCUUUGUAGGCUAGAAACAUCAUGUCGGGGACAACUCGGUUGGAGGAUUGCCGGAAGGCUCUCUUUGCAUUUCUAGUCUAUGUUUCAAUACAUACCCUUUAUAAUAUGUCAAAGAAUGAAUUCAAUGGGCAUCAUUGCCUAUAAAACAAUACAACUUUCAGCAACGGAUCUCUUGGCUCUCGCAUCGAUGAAGAACGCAGCGAAAUGCGAUAAGUAAUGUGAAUUGCAGAAUUCAGUGAAUCAUCGAAUCUUUGAACGCACCUUGCGCUCCUUGGUAUUCCGAGGAGCAUGCCUGUUUGAGUGUCAUUAAAUUAUCAACCUAUUUUUACUUUAUGUGGAAAAAGGAUUGGAUGUGGGAGUGUUGCAGGCUUAGAAAGCCUGCUCUCCUAAAAUGCAUUAGCUGGAACCAUUUUUUGUGAACCAACAAUAGUGUGAUAAUUAUCUAUGCUAUUAUUGUGAACACAAGACUUCAGCUACCAACAUAUACUUAUGACAAUUUGACCUCAAAUCAGGUAGGACUACCCGCUGAACUUAAGCAUAUCAAUAAGCGGAGGAA
rnacentral:rRNA from 1 species